rnacentral:rRNA from 1 species
CAGUAGCCGCGGUAAUACGAAGGGUGCAAGCGUUAAUCGGAAUUACUGGGCGUAAAGCGUGCGUAGGCGGUGAGUUAAGUCUGCUGUGAAAUCCCCGGGCUCAACCUGGGAAUGGCAGUGGAUACUGGCUCGCUAGAGUGUGUCAGAGGAUGGUGGAAUUCCCGGUGUAGCGGUGAAAUGCGUAGAGAUCGGGAGGAACAUCGGUGGCGAAGGCGGCCAUCUGGGACAACACUGACGCUGAGGCACGAAAGCGUGGGGAGCAAACAGGAUUAGAUACCCCUGUAGUCCCUGUCUCUUAUAC